rnacentral:rRNA from 1 species
CGGGCGUCUUAACAUGCAAGUCGAGCGGAAAUUUUAUUGGUGCUUGCACCUUUAAAAUUUUAGCGGCGGACGGGUGAGUAACACGUGGGUAACCUACCUUACAGAUUGGGAUAACUCCGGGAAACCGGGGCUAAUACCGAAUAAUACUUUUCAACACAUGUUUUGAAGUUGAAAGACGGUUUCGGCUGUCACUAUAAGAUGGACCCGCGGCGCAUUAGCUAGUUGGUGAGGUAACGGCUCACCAAGGCAACGAUGCGUAGCCGACCUGAGAGGGUGAUCGGCCACACUGGGACUGAGACACGGCCCAGACUCCUACGGGAGGCAGCAGUAGGGAAUCCUCCACAAUGGACGAAAGUCUGAUGGAGCAACGCCGCGUGAGUGAAGAAGGAUUUCGGUUCGUAAAACUCUGUUGCAAGGGAAGAACAAGUAGCGUAGUAACUGGCGCUACCUUGACGGUACCUUGUUAGAAAGCCACGGCUAACUAC